rnacentral:rRNA from 1 species
UGGGGAAUAUUGCACAAUGGGCGCAAGCCUGAUGCAGCGACGCCGCGUGGGGGAUGACGGCCUUCGGGUUGUAAACCUCUUUCAGUAGGGACGAAGCGCAAGUGACGGUACCUACAGAAGAAGCACCGGCCAACUACGUGCCAGCAGCCGCGGUAAUACGUAGGGUGCGAGCGUUGUCCGGAAUUACUGGGCGUAAAGAGCUCGUAGGUGGUUUGUCGCGUUGUUCGUGAAAUCUCACAACUCAAUUGUGAGCGUGCGGGCGAUACGGGCAGACUGGAGUACUGCAGGGGAGACUGGAAUUCCUGGUGUAGCGGUGGAAUGCGCAGAUAUCAGGAGGAACACCGGUGGCGAAGGCGGGUCUCUGGGCAGUAACUGACGCUGAGGAGCGAAAGCGUGGGGAGCGAACA